GCAAUUAGGGUUCCUAAUCCUAUUGUCAAGAACAAAACACAUAACUCAAGUUGUUGCAGCUGGGCUCAAUCUUCCUUUUGAAGAAGGCCCCCAGUGUAACGUUAGCCACUCAGGUAGUGGAAGAUCUCUAUGAGCGCUAUUUUGGUCCUUCAUUUGAACUUCUUUCACAUGAUAAGGUAACGAGCUAUUAGAAUGCUUUUAGUUUGUUCAAGGUGAGUAACUGUUACAAUUGUUUUUUUCAGUUUCUUUGAUUUGUUUGUAUUGGUUUUGCAGGUGUGUACCAUUGUAUAAUUUGGACUAUGUUUACAGUGAUCUGAUGUAUUCAAAUUUCAACUUUGUUGACCGGUAUGUCAAGAAGUAUUAGACUAGUCCCUUUUGAGUUAUUACUGAGUUGAAAGUUCUUUCUUUGCAUUCUACCAUCACUUAAUGUAUUUUACUAAUGUGAGUUUUGUUUUUCUUAUUAGCUUUAAGGAUCUUGGCCCUAAUGGCAAUGAUCAAGUGUAAGAUGGGAUGAGGCUAACAUUGUAAAACAAACCCGUGAGGUAGAAAAUUACUGAGCCAAAGACUCUGUAUCACCCUAUGAUUGAUGAUGAAGGCAUGGAAAGAACACUGUUAAAUCAAGAAUUGUACAAGGAUAGCAAGCUGCUAGUUGCUGUUAUCCAAUUUUAGAACUUUGGUAAAUUAAGAAUUGUAUGUAUUUGGACAUCAUUUAUCACCA